rnacentral:rRNA from 1 species
GAUGAACGCUGGCGGCGUGCUUAACACAUGCAAGUCGAACGGUGAAGGCGGAGCUUGCUCUGCUGGAUCAGUGGCGAACGGGUGAGUAACACGUGAGCAAUCUGCCCCUGACUCUGGGAUAAGCGCUGGAAACGGCGUCUAAUACUGGAUACGAGCUGCGAAGGCAUCUUCAGCAGCUGGAAAGAAUUUCGGUCAGGGAUGAGCUCGCGGCCUAUCAGCUUGUUGGUGAGGUAAUGGCUCACCAAGGCGUCGACGGGUAGCCGGCCUGAGAGGGUGACCGGCCACACUGGGACUGAGACACGGCCCAGACUCCUACGGGAGGCAGCAGUGGGGAAUAUUGCACAAUGGGCGAAAGCCUGAUGCAGCAACGCCGCGUGAAGGACGACGGCCUUCGGGUUGUAAACCUCUUUUGGCAGGGAAGAAGCGAAAGUGACGGUACCUGCAGAAAAAGCGCCGGCUAACUACGUG